AAUCAACGCUGGCGGCGUGCCUAACACAUGCAAGUCGAGCGAGAAAGGGGAGCAAUCUCCUGAGUACAGCGGCGCACGGGUGAGUAACACGUGGGUAAUCUGCCCUGGAGUGGGGAAUAACACCGGGAAACCGGUGCUAAUACCGCAUACGAUCACAGAGUCUGCGGAUUUUGUGAUGAAAGGAGCAAUUCGCUCUAGGAGGAGCCCGCGGCUGAUUAGCUAGUUGGUGAGGUAAUGGCUCACCAAGGCAACGAUCAGUAUCCGGUCUGAGAGGACGGUCGGACACACUGGAACUGAGACACGGUCCAGACUCCUACGGGAGGCAGCAGUGGGGAAUUUUUGGCAAUGGGGGCAACCCUGACCAAGCAACGCCGCGUGGGUGAUGAAGUCUCUUGGGACGUAAAACCCUUUCGACGGGGACGAAAGCCGCAAGGUUUGACGGUACCCGUAGAAGAAGCCCCGGCUAACUCCGUGCCAGCAGCCGCCGUAAUAC
rnacentral:rRNA from 1 species